rnacentral:precursor_RNA from 1 species
GGAUUCGAAUUACCAUCAACUCUAGGAGAAGAGCAAUAAUCAAACACCUAGAUUGGGCUUCGGUGCCGCCUAUCUGCCUUUUCAGUAAAGAGAAAGCAACAAGGGCCAGAGCUCCUAAAGCCGCCCACCCACAAGUUAGGGUGCUUCUUGGUUGGUUUGAAUUCCUCAAAGAAAGCUCCAAUUGUUGCAAUAAAUUCAUUUAUCAGCUGGGUUCUUGCAAUCUGGAACAGAACAAAUGUAUCAUCAGCCUGAAACGUUUCAAUAGCAAAUAAUAAAAUGGACCUUGAGACGUAAAUCAAUGUUGGCCAAAGCCAACAGCACGCGAAAACGGGCGUUGAAACGUAAAUAAAAAAUUACGGUCAUAACAAUCAGAUCAAAAACUUCUUUUGCCUCAGUCAGCAUCCCCUCUUUGCGAAGUGCGUCCGGCAAUAUGCUGACAGAGGCAAAAGAAGUUUUUAAUGUGACGAUGCUGUCGAGUGAGGAACGCCAAUUCUAUGAAACCUGAUGGAUAAGCGAAGAAACCCUCUUCUCUUCUCUUCUCUUCUAUUCGAUUCCUUCCUCCCGAGAUUGAUUGCGAGGGAAUGGUAAGCGCUCUUUCGUGGAAGAGAAGGUAGGGUGGGUAUUGGGGUUGGAAAGGGCAUCAAGCGUACAAACCCCCGCUCGCCCUGGGAAUGUCCUUUUAAUCCUUUAUCUUGAAAUCGGUUAAAACUUUUUGUCUCAAGUGCUCUUAAAACCUUCGUCUCAAAACUAGGCGUAAAACUUUUAAUAAUUUUCUUAAAAUUAUUCUUUGAAAACUGUUUCCUUAAAUUGUUUUCCCAAUUGUCGUGAAAAUCAAAUUGCAAAUAAAUGGACAUACAAAACUAUGCAAAGUGCAGUCUCAUAUACAAAUGAAAUAAUGAAUGGUUUUCUACUUACUUGCAUAUACAUGUUAAAAAACACAUCGAAUGUAAAACAUACUUAUUGUCGUUAGUAAGGGGAUUUACUUGCUUAAAUCCUUUGGCAUUGAGCCACCGUACCGUAUUGCCCGUCAUGUGCAAUUUACAUUUGUAUCGUUAGUCGUGGUUUAAUUUUUAAAUUCUAAAUCAUAUUUCAUAGUUAACAAUCUACUAAUUCACAUGUAGCAUUUCUCGAUUUUCUUGAAAUUAGGCUACGCUUCGCUAACUACUUGGUUGUUAACCUAUGAAAAUUUUCUUCAUUACAACCUCUUUAAAUUGUAAUGUUAAUUAGAGUUUCAAAUGAUCAAUAUCUUAUGUUUUACUUUACUCCUACAUCUUUUGAACUUCCUUGCAAAACCUAUUUUCCUAAAGGUCUAAGAGCUUCUCCCACAUUGGAAAGAAUCAUAUGACAAUUGUUUAAUUAAAGGUUUCUUAAAGUUGUUCCGUAGUUACAAUUCUGCAUCAUUAAAAUCCUAAACCAUAUCUUGAGUCUAACCCUCUCUGAUAUGUGUCACUUGAUCCUCUUCAAGUUAAUGCACAAUUUGUUAAGGUUUACACUUAUUAAAACCCUAAACCUUCACUUAAAAUCUUAAAACUUUAUUUCCCCUAGAGAAAAAUCAUAUUUUUUAACUUUGAGCAAUC